UGAAAAAAAGGUAAGAUCAAGACCAAAGUCGACACCGGCGGCCUCUGUUGGGCUCCCAUGCGCCAACGCAUCCCUGGGCAUGGUCAGACGUCGUCGCCUCUGCGCCUCCCCGUCGACGUGAGGGCACCGGCGCCUCGUGGUCCUCCCCAUCGUCCCGAGGGCGCCUCCACCGCCCCUGCUGUCCUCCGGGUCGAGGCCGCCGUUCCGUCCCUGCUCCUCCCUCCUCCGGCUCGAGACCCGGCCUGCCUCCUCCACCUCACGCGCGUGGCCGCUCCCGGGCUACCCUGCACCACCGUCGCCCUGCACAAGGUGCUACCGUAGCUUCUUCAGGAUCCAACAGGAACUGCUGCUUCUACAGGUUCCCUGCAACUUCAAGUCACUUCAUCACUAGCUAAAGGCAUUUUCUGUCCAUAUUUGGUCGGCUAUUGGAGGAAUACAGAAAUCUCCAAGUAUUAAUGAGUCACAAUCUAAAGAUGCCUAAAAGAUGCUUUCACCAAAAGGUGGAGUAACAAAAAGAAGUGGAGCAUCGUCUAACGAUUAUGAAAUACAUAAUGCAUAUCAGUAGUGAUACUAGCUUCUAUGCUUUUAUGAGAUAUCUGUAGCAUAUAUGUACUGAAGAUCUUUUCUUCAGAAGUCGGAGAGUAGACUCUUUUCAGAAAUCUUGUCUUCAGAUAUGCGUCUGGCGGGUCGUUGCAGUGGAGCUUUGACGAGUUUGUCAAUGGGCUGACGCACUGUCGCAGCGGAGGCUGAGUUGAGCGAGCCAGUGGCCGCGGAUGCAGUGUGACUAUGUCUUAGUUUUAUUGUUUGUCUUUUUCUUAUUUUGCAACAGUUGCAUGACUCGGGAGAUGAACAGUUUUGUCUUGCAAAUGCAAGCAUUGGUGCAGAAAUAAACAAAACAAGCAAGGUUUAAUAUGGUUCACACGAAGAUGUUUAUAGCUGUGACAAGUGCCUGUGUAUUUUGUACUAGUAUCUUCAAUUAUUUUACUCCAUUUUUGUAGAUUACGUGUUAUGUAAGAAUUGGAUUGCAUGCACGUUUGACUAGU